AAAAUGUUGGUGUCAGAGCUGACAUCUCUGAAAGUAAAAUAUACACCAAUUAGAAAGCAAGGUUGAUUGUCCAAAUGUAAAAUUUGUACAUUCAACUUUUCAUGAAUUGCAGAAUGUGAACACAUGUAUCUUUAGGUCAAAACUGGGGCAUCGUAAAGCUGCAAAAAUGAGUUUCUUUAACAGGUUCAAGCUGCUAGUUUUAUAAAUUUGGGAAACAACAAGUUAAAUUUGACAUUUUUUUUUAACUAUAAAGUGCUCCUUAGAUAUCUUACUUUGCAGAUGUUUUUAUGAAUAUUUCCUUUUCAGUGUAGCACUUUUGAGUCUAUUCUAUGGAUAUGUGGGAGCCUGGAGUCUGAGCUCUGGGUCAGGAAAGCCUAGUCUCCCUAUUUAAAUGCUAAUAUAAUGGGGUAUGGGGGAAGCUUCAUGGAAAGAGAAAAACUUAGGUUGUAGAUAGAUACCUGACUUCUGGUUCACAGCCCCAGUUCUCACAUCUCUAACGUGUUUCUUUUGUGUCUGCCAAUUUUGUAAGAGCUGGAAAUGUACUUCAAUUUUUCCUAAAACAAUUGCAUUCAGUAGAAGAUAAGCUGUAAUUUAAAUCCUCAGUCCCUCUUACGAGGAAAAUUUUUAGUGACCAGACACAUAAGAUUAAAAUACACACACACACACACACACACACACACACACACACACGCACGCGCAAUAAUUAUUCUACAAGACAAAGAAAUUCACAGCCAUUUCAAACAGUGAGAAAACCCAGGUCUGUUAAUCUUGGCACUUAAAGCCUUAAUACAGUACUAUAAUUGGAACUACAGUUGUAUUAUAUCUUAGCAAUGUCAUUAUUUUAAUGGAAUAAAACAGUACAUGUAUGGUGAUAUAGAAGAACUAUAGUACUUGUUAACUCAUUAUAUUUUUUAGUUAUAUAGAAUCUAAUAUUUUUUUAAUUUUUCUCUCUAGCUCCUUAAAUAAAAAGAAAAAAGAAUUAUGGUUUCAAAAUCUACAAUAUAUUUAGCUUUAAGAGAGCUCACAUAUUAGAAAUAGAAAAAAGAUUACAUGUGUUCCACUAUUAAAUAUUUCAUGUAUAAUACAAAUAAUUAUGCAAUUCAUAAGAGUAAACACUGAUCAAGUGUCCUUUGCCUUUUAUUUUUGCAUCUCUAAAGGCACUACUAGCAGGCAUGUAAUUUAGCUGGCUAGGUCAGCUCUCAGCAUCAAUAACAUUUUAAAAAUAAGAGAUAAUGUUAUUCACUUGAGAUAAUAAUGUUAAUAACAUUAAUAAUUAUUGUUUUUUAUAUUCUCUGUCACACAUCUACAUACUUCUUCUAUUUUAAUCCUCAAACACAAGGGGCCAGUAACAUUAUCUUUAUUUUAUAGGUAGAAACUUAUAUCUUGUUAUUAAGGAACCUAUCCAAGAUUAUUGAGAUCAGGGAUUAGAUACCCCAUGUAUCUGUUUCCAAAAUUUAUUCUCCUUAUGUCACAUUUAUCCAUAUAAUGAUAAGAAAGGAAUGCAAUUUAAAAUGGACAAAGGUUUGAAUGGACAUUUCUCCAAAGAAACUAUGCAAAUGGCUAAUAAGUGCAUGAAUAGAUGCUUGCAGUCCCUAGUCAUUAGGGAAAUGCAAAUCAAAACCACAAUGCAAUACCACUUCAUAUCCACUAGGAUGACUGUAAUAAAAAAGACAUAACAAUAGGUGUUGAUGAGCAUGUGGAGAAAUGGGAACCCUCAUACAUUGCUGGUGGGAAUGCAAAAUGGUGCUGCUGCUGUGGAAACAGUCUGGCAAUUUCUAAAAAAAAUGUAAUACAGUUACCAUAUGAGCCAGCAAUUCUCCUCAGUUAUAUAUCCAAGUGAACUGAAAACCUAUGUCUACACAAAAUCUUAUACAUGAAUGUUUAUAGUAGCAUUACUCAUAGUAGCCCCAAGUGGCAACAAUCUGAUGUCCAGCAAUUGAUGAAUGAAUGAACAAAAUGUGGUAUAUCCAUCCAUUAUAUUUUUAUGGAAUAGUAUCCUAUAUAAUAAUAGCUUAAUAUGCAAAUUGUCCCCUCGGGCAGUUGUUCUACUGGGAGUUUGAAUGGGAAUUUGACCACUCGCAAUGACGUGCGCUGACCACCAGGGGGUGGUGCAGAACAUGGCGGGCAUUAGCGACACGCUGCGACCUCUCUCCAGCUACUUGGGGUCAGGGGUGACGGGGACCAAAGUGCGGUGAGAAUGUGGCGUGUCCGCCAAGCUUGCUCUCAUUCCCCCUGCUACCCUCCCCCAGGACACCAGGGCUCGUGUGCCAAGGAAGUCCCCGUGCUCAGGUGCCAGGCACCCACAAGGGGCCUGCCCCGCACCCACAUGACAUCUUCUGGGUGAGCUGGGCUGCAGCCAUCGGGACCGCAAGGGCUGGUCGGGCUCCCUGUGUGUUCACCCAGGAGCUGGUCUGCAAGGCCAGCCAGAAGAGAGCACGCUGCCUGCCCGGCUUCCGUGUGGUGCCACUGGGCAGCCAAGAGGUGCACACUGAGCCCUUGCCUGCGGUGUUAGGCCAUGCUCACCACAUCUCUGCAUGGGGACUCGGGUGCUGUGACUCAGGUGCUGCCCAGGGCCCAGAGGUCAGCUGGGACCUGCCCUUCCAUACCAGAUGCUUGUGCUUCGAUCGCCAGCCAGACCUAAGGACUGCACCCAUGCAGGAAUUUCGUGCACCGGGCAUCUAGUCUAACCAUAAAAAGGAAUGGAAUACUGAUACAUUUUACAAUGUGAAUGAACCUUGAAAACAUUAUACUAAGUGAAAGAAACCAAACACAAAAGGCCACAUAUUAUUCCUUUUAAAUGAAAUGUCCAAAAUAGGGAAAUGCAUAAAUACAAAGUAGGUGUGGUUUUCAGGAGUUGUGAAUCAAUGAGGAAGGGUGAGAGACUGCUUAAUGGGCACAAGGUUUCUUUUGAAAAUGCUCUAGAAUUGGAUGGUGGUAAUGAUUGCACGAUUUUUUUUUAAUAUACUGAAAACCACUAAAUUGUAUGAUUUAGAAUGUUUUGAAUGAUGAAUUUUAUGUUAUGUGAUAUAAUUCCAAUAAAAAUAAUCAAUAACUAAAAAACAAACUAACUGAAAACCAUGGCUGGUUAUAUCAGGAUUUUAUAUAUUUACUAGAGGCUCGAUGCACGAAAAUUCAUGCCAGAGUAGGCCUUCCUUUCCCCGGCUGUCAGCACCGGCUUCUCUCCAGCACCUGGGACCCAGGAUUCCCUCCUCCGGCCGCUGGCAAGUACCUGGGACCCAGGCUGCUUGCCUCCUCAGGCUACAGACAGGUACCCGGGACCUGGGCUGACUUCCCUCCGGCCCCGGCUUCAUCAGGAAGGACGUCCGGAAGAUGUCCAGUCUAAUUAGCAUAUUAUCCUUUUAUUAGUAUAGAUUUUCAAGUUCCAGUUUUUCAAGCUGACCAUUUUCAAAAGCAAUAGCAUUGGAUGUAUGGGUAUUGAAGAAAACCAAUUCUUUCAAUAUCUGUGGCUGUGUCUGUGGCUGUUGUUUCAUCAGUUAUACUGAUCAUCACAGAUUUGUUAAUGACUGCAUUCAGAUAGAGUUGCCAAAGAAGCAUAAGUUUUUAAUAAAUCAUUAUUGAUCUUUCAUAUGAGCAUACUCAAUAAUGAAGACUAUGUUUUAUAAGGCUCACCAAGAAACAAGCAGUUUUUCAAUAUAAAAAGAACCAUGUGAAUGAAUUAAUUCAACAACAAAAGAUGUGGAAGAAAACAUGCCCUAGCAACUGGCUUCUUGUACUACAAUCCGGGGCUCAUUUAUCUUAAACAAGUCAACUUUUGUAACACCCUCUGCACUGUAUAGAAUACUGAGUGACAGUCAGACAGAGCUGUCAAGAAAAAAGGAAGAAGUGGGAAAUGUGAACUAGAAUGAAUUUAAAACAAAAUCUUUGUAAGAGAAUGCAAAAUAGCCUUUGACAAGGAAUUUUCCUUUAAAAUAACCAGAAGCUAUGUGAGCACAUUGAACAAGUGAAUGUCAACGGGUGAAAAGUACUUAAUAAUCCCCCACAGCAUUUCUAAUAGAAUUUACCUGGUCCCCUCCUCAUUAUAAAAACCAUCUAAAUUCUAAAAGGCCUUGAACAAAACUCCCACAAAAUGUUCCAUCAUUCUCGAAUUGAAUGUUUCUUGACAGAUAACUUGCUUACAAAAUGUGUUCUACUAGUUUUUGCCUUCACUCAGUUUCCCAGGUUCUUGCCCCAUAGUUGCUAAUAGUUUUAACAGCAUAUUAGAAGUUCUAUAUUGUUAAUUCCACUUCUGCUAUUUCUUUCUAAAAUUAUUUAAAUUAAAUAGGUACUAAGAAAUUGACAUUGAUCUGAUCCCUUUUUCCCCUCAAUGAGAUUUUAUCAUAAGAAGUUAUUUUUAGGUGUUUGUGGGAAGGAAAAAAAUCCUUCUGAUGAAAUCACUGUUCUUAGAUGGAGCUCUAAUAUUUUAGGACUCUCUUGGGAGUUCUGCCACUGAUUUACAUUGUGGCCUUAGAAAAGUUUAAAUAUAAAAAGACAAGUGUAAAGUGAAAUUAUGAAAACAUGUAACUGGGAUCAAAUGACGAGCAGAGAUGGAGUGGUUGAAUGGCUAUUGGCAACUAUCCUAGUCACUCAACACAGUUAUAGGCCAACAAUUUUGUUUGAAAUUUCACUGCUUAGCUUUAUACUGAAAUAGUUUCUUAUAUAGUAUUAUAGGAAACUCAAAGUUGUUAGUAUAGGUAGCUGGGUAUUAAUAAAGAAUGGGGCCCUAACGGGUUUGGCUCAGUGGAUAGAGUGUCGGCCUGCGGACUGAAAGGUCCUGGGUUGGAUUCUGGUCAUAUGCCCACGUUGCAGGAUCAAUCCCCAGUAGGGGGCAUGCAGGAGAUAGCCAAUCAAUGAUUCUCUCUCAUCAUUGAUGUUUCUCUCUCCCUCUCCCUCUCCCUUCCUCUCUGAAAUCAAUAAAAAUAAAAGAUAAAAAAGAAUGGAGCAAAUGGAAUUAGACAUUAAGAAGCCUAAUCUAAAAAAAAAAAAAAAGAAGAAGAAGCCUAAUCUGCUAGGAGCUGAAUCAGACAAUAAGCCUGCUUCACACACUCCCCAGGGGACUAUUGUAUCCUCUACCCUUGAGUCCUAAUCCACAAAAUGGACAGGAAGGGUCAUUAGCGUUCAUUAGCCAGGAUUACGGAGGAAGAAAUAAAAACAAUGAAGGGGAAAUUCCUCUACUGGGCACAGGCCCAGUAGAUGGCAUAGGGGAGGUUCUUCUACUAUGAGGCAUGUGCAGUAGAAGCUAAGAUGGCAAUCAUAUGGAGGAGUGUAUAGCCUGGGAAAAGGAUCAGAUUGGAUAAGGAUGCAGACCCUGGAAUAUCUAUGAAAUGAAUUGGUUAGGGGGAGGGCCCAGCACAAGCCUUCAAGGGAUUGGGAAAGAGAUUGGUCAGUUUGAAAGCGCAAGAUAAUAUAAUCUAAGCCUAACAAGGGCCUCUGGCCCCAUAAUGUGCGCUCCUGCACUGACAUUCUCUCUGUAUCAGCCAUGCAGACCUAGCAGCUGAGGGGGGCCCAAGCAUGGUCCCCACGCAUGGGCUCUAAGUGUGAGCCUAGGUACUGGGGAUAGUAGCACAGUCCUAGCUGGAGUGCAGCUGGGAACAGAGGCUAGGCUGGCCAGUUGGAGACAAGGAUUGUACUAGACUGAACCAAUGGCACAACAUUUCUGGACCCUGGACUUUCUUCUGGGCUUGAUGAAAACAACCUGGGACAACCCUUUGUGUUUGCUCCAGUUUCAAUAAAUCUUACCACCAAAUCUCAUCCUUCUGUUUAUGGCCCCUGAAAUGGUUUUCUCCCGACACCAUAAGGACCCCAUUUCCACCGGCAACAUAUCUAUGGACAAGAACUGCAGCAAGAAUAUAUUUAUCUAUAUCUUUGCAGCUGAAGAAAUUGUGGCUUUUAGAAAAAAAGAAGCCAAUUUAAUAUUUUAAGGCAAGAAAGUCUUAGAAUCAGACAGCCUUACUUUAUUGCCAUUGUAUAUUAGCAAAUCUGAAAACAAAUUAUGUAUAUACUCAUAAAAUUUAACCAAAUAAAGGUAUAUACUGGAGAGACAUUUUUUAAAACCCAGUAGUCAGAAAUAAUUCUUAAAACCCAUUGGAAACAAAGAACAAAUAUGAAACAGUUCUAUGCAAUGAAUUAAAAGUAGAAAAAAAUCUCAUAACUUAGUAAUAGUAUGAUCAUAUCUAAAUGUAACCUUCAAAAGCCUCCUGGGCAUUACAAUUUUCAGCUCAAUACUAUUUGCAUUUUUAAGGCAGAAAUAUUUAUUACAGUCAUCAGAGGAAAAAUAAAGUGCCUGGCGACACUGAAAAGAGGAAGCCAGUAGACUUAAUCUUGUGACAAUAUAAGACAUUCAAAACCCAUCUAUAAUAAUAAAAGUGUAAUAUGCUAAUUAGACCAGUCAGCCAAAUGACCUUCCAGAUGUCAUUCCGGACAUCCUUCUGGAUGAAGCUGCCAUGGCAGGGGCUGAGGCAGAGGCGGUUAGGGGCGAUCAGGCAGGCAGGAGAGCAGUUAGGAGAGAUCAGGCAGGCAAGCAAAGUGGUUAGGGGCGAUCAGGCAGACAGGCGAGCAGUUAGGGAUGAUCAGGCAGGCAGGCAAGUGGUUAGGGGCAAUCAGGCAGGCAGGCAGAGUGGUUUGGGGAGAUCAGGCAGGCGGGCCAGUGGUUAGGGGUGAGCAGGCAGGCAGGCGAGUGGCUAGGGGCCAUCAGGAGGGCAGGCAGAGGGGUUAGGGGCUAUCAGGCAGGC